rnacentral:lncRNA from 1 species
CGUCGACAAUGUAAAUGGCACUCGUCUCAACUUUUCAAAUUUAUGCGUACAUUCCUUGGCCUCUUAGAAUUUUCCCCCAAAUCCUCAACUUGAUUAUUUCUUAGUUCUGAUGAAUCAAAAAGAAGCCAGCCUUGAAUUAUAUAGUCAAAAAAGGUAAGGAGAUAUAAGCAAUUGCUAAGAUUUGCCUACUAAUAAACAAACAAAGUUAAAUUAAUCAGUACUCUAUUAUUUUCUUGAGGAUAAAUCUGAGAACACUCACAUCAACCAUAAAUUGGGAGAGAGAAGUCUGAAGAAAAUGGAAAGAAAUUUGUUACAAAUGAAGAAGAUGCCUGAAUCGAUACUAUACUAUUGAAAAUCGGAACAAGAGGAAUGGAAGAACUAUGAUUCUAGAUUUUCACUCUAUGUUUGAAAAACCUGCGUUUGGAGUGGAAAGAAUGAGACGAUGCUUCUUGAGAGGCUGGACAUCGUUUGGAGUGGGGAA